rnacentral:rRNA from 1 species
UACGUAGGGGGCAAGCGUUGUCCGGAAUCAUUGGGCGUAAAGCGCGCGCAGGCGGUGCGGUAAGUCUCUGGUGAAAGCGCUCGGCUUAACUGGGCGAGGGCCGGGGAGACUGCCACGCUGGAGGGGAGCAGAGGCGAGUGGAAUUCCGGGUGUAGUGGUGAAAUGCGUAGAGAUCCGGAGGAACACCAGUGGCGAAGGCGGCUCGCUGGGCUCUACCUGACGCUGAGGCGCGAAAGCGUGGGGAGCGAACCGG